rnacentral:lncRNA from 1 species
AUAAAUAUUUGACACGCAUGCUCUAAUAAAAAAACAUAAAAUACAUCAACGGAUGUUACUAAAAAAAAAAAACACACCCAAUAAACACUUAGCUGACAACAAACACCACCUGAACGCCAAACUCCUUACGAUAGCUCAUUUGGUAAUUGCAAAACAAGAAUGUCCUUCCCAAAACAACACCUUCAACAGUAUUAAAGAGCCCAAAUAAAUCAUAAAGAUAUUUCAAAC